rnacentral:rRNA from 1 species
UACAGAGGGUGCGAGCGUUAAUCGGAUUUACUGGGCGUAAAGCGUGAGUAGGUGGCUCGCUAAGUCGGUUGUGAAAUCCCUGGGCUCAACCUGGGAAUUGCAGUCGAUACUGGCAAGCUAGAGUUCGGUAGAGGGUGGCGGAAUUCCCGGUGUAGCGGUGAAAUGCGUAGAUAUCGGGAGGAACAUCGAUGGCGAAGGCAACCACCUGGGCCUGAACUGACACUGAGACACGAAAGCGUGGGUAGCAAACAGG